rnacentral:rRNA from 1 species
GCAGCCGCGGUAAUACGGAGGAUGCGAGCGUUAUCCGGAUUUAUUGGGUUUAAAGGGAGCGUAGGUGGCCUGUUAAGCCAGCUGUGAAAUACUGCCGCUCAACGGCAGCCGUGCAGUUGGAACUGUCAGGCUUGAGUGCACAAGAGGAAGGUGGAAUUCAUGGUGUAGCGGUGAAAUGUUUAGAUAUCAUGAAGAACUCCGAUUGCGAAGGCAGCCUUCUGGGGUGCAACUGACACUGAUGCUCGAAAGUGUGGGUAUCGAACAGGAUUAGAUACCCC